UUGAGAUAUUUAAAAAAAUAAAUAAAUAACUCAAUUGAAAUUAAUAAGUUACAGAGAAUAGUAAACGUUAAGAGUUUCUAAUAGUACUGAUUUAUUGUCAAAAAUUACAUACGAAAUCUGGAGGGAAAAUAGAGUCGGUUGAAUAAGUCGCGCUCAAAAUUUUUCAUUUAUAAUUAAUGAGUUCUUGCCACUAGCUGAAUAUUGACCACUCAUCUCAUCAGAUGUGGGCUGAUCGGAAGAAACAACCAAAAAGAAAAGCUGACCUCAUAUUAAGCAAAAAGUAAUUUAAUUCAAGCCAAAUACUAUCAUUUACUGAACUUGAGUUUAAAUUGUCGAGAAUGAUAAUUACCAUGUUAAGGAUCUUUUGCAGUCCUUCAACCUGAAUGUGGAUGUAUGAUGAAUAUACACAAUGAAUGCUUUGGUUAAAAAAAUAAGGUAGAUCCUAUGGAAGAACGAAAAUUAUAAGAUUUUAUUAUUACUGAAAAAUGUAACACAUCAAAUUGAGGAGCUAUUUUAGAUAUAGAAAGAGAGACAAUACAACAUAAGAAUGAGGAAUUAAAAUUAAAAGGACUUGAACUAAAAUUAAAAGGUGAUGAGUUAAAGUUAAAAGAAAUUGAAGUGAAUAAAGUAAUUUUCUGUCAAAUAUUGAAGAAGAAAAGAUUGCUGGAAUGAACGAAAAAUAGUAACACUAUGCUUCAUAAUGUAAUGUAAAUUUUAUGGAGAAUGUAAUGUUUGAAGGUAUAUUAAAAAAAUGUAACUUAUUUAAAGGAGUAAAGAAUAUUUUUAUUUUAGAUUCU